ACAACACCACAAAUACAAAUAAACACUGUUAGUGUUCAGUUUGCUGAAAUCAGAGCUUACACACCAUGUAAAUUAUCAUAAAGGAGCCCGAUACACUGCUGUCCCUCAGUUCUUUAUCCAAGACCCUGAAAUGUUCAGGUAUAUCACACAUUACAGAGCUGAGGAGAAGAACAGGGUCAGGAGCACGGAGACAGAACACUUUACUCUGAGCAUUUUAGCCCCAAUAAUCCAGAACACAGAUCGAUUAACAGCACAUGUCAUUACGUCACUGCGCCACGCUGUCCGACGUUCCCUGCAGAAUUUCAUGUAUCGACAUACAGUUGGUCUUCGUUAUGUGAGUUCUCUUCUGCCUCCAUUAUGGAGAACACAAACUGGAGCUCAACUUGCGUGUGAAUUGGAUUAAAGUGAGGAAGACUUGUGCAGCAUCAGCCUCACUUCCCGGUGACCGCCAUGAUCCAGUGGCAAAGUCAAGACGAUUGAAGAUAGCUCCUGGGCACAUACACACACUACAGACACGUUGGAAAUGCCAAUCCGCCUACCAUGCAUGAUGCAUGUCUUUGGACUGGGGGAGGAAACCAGAGCACCCGGAGAAAACCCCCGCAGCAUGGGGAGAACAUGCAAACUCCGCAAACACAGGGCCACAAUGGGAAUUGAACCCCCGACCCUGGAGGUGUGAGGCGAAUGUGCUAACCGCUAAGCCACCUUCAGCUAAACACACACACACACAAAACUAAACACACACAUACAUCUAAUUACACACAGCGUCAACUAAAACACACACACACACCUUCAACUAAACACACACAGCUUCAACUAACACACACACAUUCAGUUAAUACACAGCUUCACACACACACCUUCAGCUUCAGUCUGCAAAUGGAACAAUACAUUCAUUCAACACAAUGCAUUAUAAAGUCGGAUAUUCUUCAAAAAAUAUUUUUAUAUCAUGUGAGGUGAAAAACAUUACAACCUCCUUAAUCUUCAUCUUUAUCCCGAGUCAGGAGCGGCUACAGGUGUUAAACAGUCACACUUCUCAGAAGCACGCUGUUUUCAUGAGCCAAUACACUAGCAUACUAGAUUAUAUUCGGCUAUGAAAAAACACCAACGGCUGGAAGAUUUAAACAAAUCUUUAAGUCUGGUGUUUGGUAGAACUUCUCUGUAAGUUAUGACAGUGAGUGGUGGACCGAAACAUUACAGCGUGCCGUAAUACCACAAACAUAUGUCUACUACAGUACACACACACACACACACACACACACACACACAGCACAUUCCAAUCUCUGCUGUAUUCAGGCAGGCUUUCAUUGCUGAUUCAGUCCUGGCUAAAGAAAUCACUGUGGUUACAGACUCGAUGGGGAUGACUCAUCCAAAAGUCUAGUCCUUCUUGUCCUAUGAAUAAACAUGAAUCAAGUGAUGAGAAUGAGUGGAAUCCAAAGAUAGUACAGUAAAACUUAAUAUAAGGUACAAGUACAACUGCAUCAAGCCUGCCACUCAGUGACAUCACCAAACUGUUGGUUUAUCUUUUUGUGAUGCUUUUCCAGCCUCUUUCAGUUGUUUAUUUCUGGGGGUUUCUCCCUUCAGUCUCCUCCUCAGAAAGUGAAAUGCUGCUCAUCUGGGUUAAGGUCUGGUGAUUGACUUCCACUUUUUUCCCUUGAUGAAGUCCUUUGUUAUGUUGGCAGUGUGUUUUGGACCAUUGUCUUGCUGCAUGAUGAAGUUCCUCCUGAUUAGAUCAGAUGCAUUUCUCUGUAAAUUGGCAGACAGAAUGCUUCUGUAGACUUCUUAUGAUUUCACUGAAUGUUGUUUUGGGGUUUUUCUUCACAGGUCUCACAAUGUUUCCAUCAUCAAUUUGUUGCUUUUAUUGGCUGACCUGUUCAGUGUCUGGUUCUAACACAGCUCUCUGGUCUUCACGGUCACGGGGAGCCUGGAGCCUAUCCCAAGGAACUCUGGGCAAAGGCGGAGGACAUCCUGGAUCACAGGCCAUCACAGGGCACAAUAACACACUACAGACAAUCUGGAAAUGCCAAUCAGCCUACAACACAUGCCUUUGGACUGGUUAGGGAAACCAGGGUACCUCACAGAAACUCCCAGAGCACAUGGAGAACAUGCAAGCUCAGGAAUCGGACCCCCAACCCCGUGCUAAUCACUAAGCCACCGUGCCUUGAAAGAAAUUCCAGAAAUGAUGAAGAAGAAGGUGAUUUAAAUACAUCAGUCUGGGAAGGGUUACAAAGCUAUUUCAAAGGCUCUGGGGCUCCAAAGGACCACAGCGAGAGCCGUUAUCUCCAAAUGGAAAUACUCAGCACAGUAGUGAACCUUCCCAGAAGUGUCCGACCUUCCAAAAUUCCUCCAAGAGCACAGGAACGGCUCAUCCAGGAAGUCACAAAAGCGCCAAGGACAACAUCAAAGGACCUACAGGCCUCUCUUGCAACAAUAAAGGUCACUGUUCAUGACUCCACUAUCAGAAAGACACUGGGCAAAAAUGGCUCCAUGGAAGAGUGGUGAGGUGAAAACCACUGCUAACCCAGAAGAACAUUAAGGCUCAUCUGAAUUUUGCCAAAACACACCCUGAUGAUCCUCAGACCUUUUGGGAGAAUGUUCUGUGGACUCAUGAGUUGAAAGUGGGACUGUUUGGAAGACAGUUGUCCCGUUACAUCUCGCAUAAACCAAACACCGAAUUCCACAAAAAGACCAUCAUACCUACGGUCAAGCAUGGUGGAGGCAGUGUGAUGUUGUGGGGAUGCUUUGCUGCUUCAGGACCUGGACAACUUGCAAUAAUUGAGGGAAACAUGAAUUCCGCUCUCUACCAGAAAAUCCUAAAGGACAAUGUCCGGUCUUCAGUCCAUAAGUUGAAACUCAAGUGCAACUGGAUUACCUGGUCCACCUCUGAAUGGCUUAAAAAUAAGUAAAUUUGAACCAAUUGAGAUGCUGUGGCAGGACCUUAAAGGGGCAGUUCAUGCUUGAAAACCCUCCAAUGUGCAGUGUGGCUGAACUAAAACAGUUCUACAAAGAAGAGUGGGCCAAAAUUCCCCCACAGUGUUGUGAAAGUCUGAUCUCCAGUUAUUGGAAGCAUUUGGUUGCAGUUAUUGCUUCUAAAGUUUCUCUCCUGUGUGUUUUUUUCCUCCAUGUGGUGGCACUGUUGCUCCAUCACUCACCGGUCUCAUGCUGCUGUCUGUUGGAGGCGUUAGCAGUGUGUGAUGAGGCUGUGGUGAGGGUUGAUGAUGAUGGAGGGACUGCGUGGCUUUUUCCCUGAUCCGGUUCAUUAGUGGCUCGUGCUGCACUCUUUAAUGUCCAGCGGUUUUGGAUAUGAGACACAGCCUCCUCUGCAAGCAUGCUAUCCCGCGGUGCCACACGAAGUGUUGCCUGCACUUUAAAGUCCUGUGUGUCAUCCGAGUAUAAAUCUGACACACGACACUCAUACACACCCUCAUCUUCCUUCCCCACCUGGGACAGGCUGAGCUUGUGGGAGAUGGCAUUUCCCUGCACACGCACCGUCUGAGACCAACAUGACAGGAAACAAUACAAGGAGAUGUUAAUGACAUCAGUGUUAAAGUUAUCAUUAAUUAUUCUCACACAUCAGUAUCUUACUAUAGCUGCACAGGGGUCACGGAGAAACCUGGAGCCUAUCCCAGGGAGCAUGGGGCACAAGGCGGGGUACACCCUGGACAGUGUGCCAAUUCAUCGCAGGGCACACAAUCACAUACACAUUCACACACACAUUCAUACACUACGGACACUUUGGACAUGCCAAUCCGCCUACCAUGCAUGUCUUUGGACUGGGGGAGGAAACCGGAGUACCCGGAGGAAACCCCCGCAGCACGGGGAGAACAUGCAAACUCCACACACACAGGGCCACGGUGGGAAUACGAACCCCCGACCCUGGAGCUGGUGGCGACGGUGGUGAGGGAAAACUCCCUAAGAUGACAUGAGGAAGAAACCUUGAGAGGAACCAGACUCGGAAGGGAACACGUCCUCAUCUGGGUAAAUGGUGCAUUCAACAAUUUAUAACUGCCAACCUGCAUACGUUUUUAUUUGGUUACCAUAGUAACCCUGAAAUCAUAUUUGAUUACAAUCCAUGUUUAUUCACACUUACACUGAUCUUAGUGGCGUCUCUUGGAGCAACCUGUAAUAUAAACAGCACACAGUGAGAAUCUGAAACCUAGCAUUCUUAACACACACACACACACAAAGAGAGAGAACUUGUAGCAUUUAGCUUCAUAAACAAACCAUUAGAAAAUCCUGAAAUGUGGCUUUAUUUAUCAUAGUGGUUAAUGUUUCCAUAUAUGUAUUUAUAUACAAUGAAAGGGGUUAGUGCAGGAUUUAAGGGGUUAAUGCAGUGCUGAAAGGAUUAGUGUAAAACUGAAAGGGUUUGAGCAGGACUAAAGAGGUUAUUGUAAGAAUGAAGGAGUUAGUGUUGGGCUCAAGGGGUUACAGUAGUGCUCUGUGUGUGUGCGUGUGUGUGUGUGUGUGUGUGUGUGUGUGUGUGUGUGUGUGUGUUUUACCUUGGCUCGGUUGCCCGAGUGAGAGUCAUGUGUGUCCCGUGGGGU